ACCCUGCACACACACAAAAAAAAAAAAGAAAAAAAAGUAGAUUUUUUUGUUUUUUUUUUUGUUAGUAAGCAAAAUUUUUGAAUACAUGUGUGCAUUUCUUUUAGAACAGGAUGCUUAGAAGUGGACAUAGGACUCCACAGAUGCAAUCCAAUCAUUUAGGCCAGAAGCCCCAGAUUUGAGGUGUUGCACCAUGUAGUUAUUCUCCAACGAAGUUUGGUAUAACAUUCACCACAUAAAGGCAAGGUCCUGCAUGACAACCAAAAGCCCAACACUCGGGAUUGGGUGACUGCCAAAACUUUCUCAGCAUCAGACAUGCUCAUGUGAGCAGGCCUCUGACAGCCAAUGAAAUAUCCAAGACUGAAAUGCUAAAAUUAUUUGCCAAAGAAGAUCAUGAACCUGCUGCAUUAUAUGAGGGAACUCCGUGCAGAGAGUCUUCCUUCCUUGGUCAUCAAAUAUCUUUUCCAGAGUAAUGUCUUGCAAGGCAACCAAGGUAGUCUCAAGCAUAUCAAGACCAGCCUGGUUUGCAAAUGUGAAAACUGGCAUUGCCUGUAACAAAGUGAUAUACAGAAUCUACAGCAUUAUUAACA